ACGAUAGCUAAGACCCAAACUGGGAUUAGAUACCCCACUAUGCUUAGCCCUAAACCUAGAUAGUUAACCCAAACAAAACUAUCCGCCAGAGAACUACUAGCAACAGCUUAAAACUCAAAGGACUUGGCGGUGCUUUAUAUCCCUCUAGAGGAGCCUGUUCCAUAAUCGAUAAACCCCGAUAAACCUCACCAUCUCUUGCUAAUUCAGCCUAUAUACCGCCAUCUUCAGCAAACCCUAAAAAGGAAGAAAAGUAAGCACAAGUAUCUUAACAUAAAAAAGUUAGGUCAAGGUGUAGCCCAUGAGAUGGGGAAGUAAUGGGCUACAUUUUCUACAACUAGAACAUCCACGAAAAUCCUUAUGAAAUUAAGUAUUGAAGGAGGAUUUAGUAGUAAAUUCGAGAAUAGAGAGCUCGAUUGAAUCGGGCCAUGAAGCACGCACACACCGCCCGUCACCCUCCUCAAGUGAUUAGACCCCAAAGAAACCUAUUCAAACCACUA
rnacentral:rRNA from 1 species